UGGUCGGGAGGCACCCAGUGGGAUGGGCGCCAAGAAUUGGCCGAAACGAUCUGUUCUCAGGGUUCGUCCCCGCCGCCCAUCGGUGACGCG
rnacentral:ncRNA from 1 species